GGGGGAGGCAGUCUCCACCAUUCCUCCUCUGCCCAGGCCCUGACAAAUGGUGAUCUAGGAUCUACUGAGAGGCAAAGACUUCUCCACAUCAACUGCGUUCUAUGUUUUCUGCAUAAUCCUGAAGACACGUCACUUGACCUUGACCUUGUUAAGGCAAAUAGUUUUCUGUUGCUUCCAUGCAAUGCUUCUGGUAGUGAGAUCAGAAUGUUCCCUCUCUUGUAAUCCUUCUCACCCACCUUCUUGGUUGGACAUGGUUCCUUCCGCACAAGGAUCACAACCAUAGCAGCAAACAGGCUUUCCUUCUGGAACCACCUUUGCAAAUCCAGGCUGACAUAUUUUGCUACACCUGGAACGAGGCACGGCCUAACCAUGAAGAUAAGAAGGUGCAUGGAAAAUCAAUAAAAUUAUAGGGGGUGGGAGAAGAUGCAUUGUGGAGAAAGUGUUAGGGGUAUUUGUGUGUCUGGAUUUCACCCACAUAGUUUGGUAAUCACCCAACAGGAUCUCUUGUCCCCCUGACCUCGUCCACUUUCUGCAUAGAAGCAGCAUUCUCCAGCCCCGACCCUGAGGUCCAGCUCCGAGGGCCUUCUGACGGUUCCCUCCCUGGGAGAAGUGAGGUUACAAGGAACCAGGCAGAGGGCCUUCUCACUGGUGGCGACUUCCAUGUGGAACAACCUCCCAUCAGAUGUCAGGGAAAUAAAUAACUAGCUGACAUUUAGAAGGCAGCUUGGUACAGAGAAGUAUUAAAUAUCUGAGGUUUUAUUGUACCAAUUGGUUUUGCCAAACUUAGGAUUCUCCCACAUGUCAAAUCUCAGGGUGCACAUGCCUGAGUGUAAGUUUGGGGAGUUACAAAAAACCAGCCUCCUUUGAUGCUGGGGUGUGUGGAAGGUGUGGGAAGGAGAGAGAAAGAGAGAGAAGAGAAGAAGAGAAGAGAAGAGAAGAGAAGAGAAGAGAAGAGAAGAGAAGAGAAGAGAAGAGAAGAGAAGAGAAGAGAAGAGAAGAGGGCAGCUGAAACUGGGUGGAAAGGACACCAUUGGUCCCCCUUAUAAGGUCAUUUGGCAAAAGAGGCUCCAGGAAGAGCAUGAGCAGGAUCUCCUAGCCUUCUUCCUCAGUAACAUCCCCUACCUUGUGAAACUUCUCAGGCCACUCAAUGGCUUCUGGGUUGAUGGUGAACUUGAUGCCAGUAGAUGCCUCUCUACUUGUACUGCCAAUCUUCACCAAAGCAUGAGACUCAUUGGGAAACAUCACCCAAUUCAUGAUAUCAAAGUCAGGAGGCAGCUCCCAAUUCUCAUCCAAACACAUUGUGCCCCUGGAAGUAUUCAAACACUGGAUUUCUUUUAAGAAAGGGUGGAGCUGGAAUGACAGGGAAAACAGCAGUAUUUUAUUGUUCCUCACUUGAAGCAAGCGACUUUCCAAAAUAACAUUAAUACAAAUAAUAAAUAAGAUUAAUACAAAAGUCAAUACAAUCUUCUUCUUUUUUUAAGAACCAAAAUGCCUAACAGAGACAUCGGUCUGCUGGAACUAGCUGAGAGAACAUCAUUUCCACAGGUGAUGUCAUGAAUGAGCCAACUGAAGAAAGCAGCCAGGAAGAGAGAGAGUUAACUGCCAUGCAGGAUGAGCAUCGGCUAAUGCCUACUCUUCCACCCCCUUGGAAUGCCGGCUGACGAGGGAAUGGCGGAGAACGUAGUCAGGAACGUAGUCAAAGCUCGCCAGAAGCACAAACCGGCAGGAAAGAGUUAAGGGACAGCCUCUCAGAGAAUGAGGAAGAGGAGGGAGUUGACUCACUCUCUCCAAGGUCUCGACAAAUGGGAAGGCUUCAAGAUAAGAAGGAAAACAAAAGAUGUAUGAAGUGAAAGUUCAGUUGCUUCUGGUCGCGCUGGAAGCAUUCUUCAGAAGGGUCAUCUUGACUGAUGAUGGAGGCUGUGUUAGAGCCAGCUGGAGUUACCUGUUUGUUUUGACAAUAAAUCAUCCUUUUUAAUUAACUACGCUCACUGUGUUAUCAAGCCGGGGACUGGAUUCCUGACUGGUGACCUCUUUAUUUCUAGUGAAGAUUGAUCAUAUCAGAAGAAUUUUUAUUUGCAUCAACCACAAGUCAUAGCAAUAAAAUUGUCAGCAUCGCCCUUGAGUCAGUGCCACCAACUGGACUCACACACUUCAGCCCUGACUGGGCCAGGUGAGCUGGGUAGCACUUCCAGAGACCACCUUCUGCACAGGAACAGGUCAAAGUGCUGUGGACUCACAGCUUAGGGUUGUGAGCACCAGAUUCACUUCCACAAGAAGACAGUCGUCGCACAGCAGAGUACAGCAGAGCAUAAACGACUCGGAGAGCAGCUCUGUAGAAUAUCUUCUUUAUUCUGUCUACAACUAUAAUACACAACUAUGUACAGAGCUAAAUGAGGUCUAAACGAAAAUGCUGAACUGCACUGAGUGUCUGCAGCUGCUCUUAGCAGCAACCUUAUCUAUACACACGAUCUCUCUCUAACACUCAGUCUCUCUCUCUCUUUGAUAUGAGGCUGGAGCGAAAUAAGUAGAGAGCAGAAACCGCCCCCUCCUCUCUUGAGAGUCAGCAGAGAACAUCAGCAGAUUCUUGGAUAUGGGAGGGGUGAAAUCUCCUCAAAAAUAUGGUACAUGACCCCAGUCAAGUUUGCAAAAAUCUAUCAUUUGCCCGAUAAUAAAUGUUGGAAAUGCAAAGAAACUGAAGGUACAUUCUUUCACCUUUGGUGGACGUGCCCAAGGAUUAAGGCUUUCUGGGAGAUGAUUUAUAAUGAAAUAAAAAAGGUACUGUAUUUAAAUAUACCUUUCUGAAGAAACCAGAGGCCUUUCUUCUGGGCAUUGUCGGCCAAUUGGUGCCAAAGAAGGACAGAACUUUUUUUAUGUAUGCUACAACAGCAGCAAGAAUACUCAUCGCAAAGUAUUGGAAGACACAAGAUCUACCCACUUUGGAAGAAUGGCAGAUGAAGGUGAUUGACUACAUGGAAUUGGCGGAAAUGACUGGCAGAAUCCGAGACCAGGGAGAAGAGUCGGUGAAAGAAGACUGGAAGAAAUUUAAAGACUAUUUACAGAAAUAUUGUAAAAUUAAGGAAUCUUAGAAGAAUGUUGGAUAGAAACUAAGUGGUUUUUAGCUGUAAUUCUUUAAGAGAUAUGAAAAAAGGUUUACAAAUGGGUAAAAGCUUAAUGGUAAGGAUUUGCUGAACUAACAAACUGAACUGGAAUACAAAAAAGGGAGGUACGAGGAGGUCCGGGGAAAUAAGUGUAAGGAAGAUAGGUUAUGGAAAAUUAAUGUCUCUUUAACUGUUUUAUUUUGUAUGUUUCUUUUUAUUUUUUACUUUUUUGUUAUUUUUUAAAAAACUUUAUUCUUUUUUCUGUAUUCUGUAUUUCUUGUAUUUUUUGAAACUUUAAUAAAUAUCAUUUUUU